CAACAAUCAACUUAGCCUAUAAAUCUGUGAGCCGCGCAUCACGUUGCAUACAGUACAACUUAUUUAAUCAAAAGAAAAGAGCAUUGUUCUUUCCAUAUAACGGCCAAUGUUGUUCCGGGGCUUGUUUGCUAGCCAUCACCGUGAUGAAUCCUCUACCUAAAACAAUUCUGGAACCAUACACGAUAAUCUACCAAACAGUUCUUUCGUGUUAGACAGCACUGGCUCUUAUUCUUGGAGCAUGCUGAAAGGAAUUGAACAACGUGGGUCUGGACCAAUGAAACAUUGAAUAAUGAAAAGAGCGGUACUGAAGCAGUUCGUGCAAUUGGCUUAUCUUAACUUCCUCACGCUGUACAAGGAACCAACCUUCAUUGUAAGCAAUGAUGCCGUGGUGAAUAUCCGCUUUGGGACAGUAGAUUGUUGAAUUACGGAGAUUACGACGUGCUAUGAUUUUUUACUCUUGAAUUUGCAAUGGUACAUUGAAGAAUACUGAUUCGACGG